CUAGGUAGAGCUUGAUAGUUAAGCAUCUCUUUUACACAGAGCAGAUAUUUGUGCAAUCCAAAUUGCCUCGA
rnacentral:tRNA from 1 species